rnacentral:misc_RNA from 1 species
GCACAAGAGACGUGCCACUGGAGGAAAGCAGAAGACUUGGAGGAAGAAGAGAAAGUAUGAGCUUGGCAGACAGCCCGCAAACACAAAGCUGGUGCCAAAUGCUAAGACUGUUAGAAGGAUAAGAGUCCGAGGAGGUAAUGUGAAGUGGCGUGCUUUGAGGUUGGAUACUGGGAAUUUCUCUUGGGGUAGCGAGGCUGUUACAAGGAAGACUCGUCUGUUGGAUGUGGUGUAUAACGCCUCUAACAAUGAGUUGGUUAGGACACAAACCCUGGUGAAGAGUGCAAUUAUUCAGGUUGACGCAGCUCCAUUUAAGCAGUGGUAUCUCCAGCACUAUGGAGUUGAAAUCGGUCGCAAGAAGAAGACUGCUGCUUCUUCCAAAAAGGAAGGAGAGGAGGCUGAGGCUGUAGCAGAGGAGAAAAAGAGUAACCAUGUCCAAAGAAAGCUGGAAAAGAGGCAACAGGAUCGCAAGAUUGACCCACAUGUCGAGGAGCAAUUUGCUAGUGGGCGUCUAUUGGCUGCAAUCUCAUCGCGACCUGGCCAGUGUGGUCGUGCUGAUGGUUACAUAUUGGAAGGAAAGGAACUUGAAUUUUACAUGAAGAAACUUCAGAAGAAGAAAGGGAAGGGUGCCGGUGCUGCUGCUUAGAGUUGCAGGCUCCAAUUUUUAAAUUAUCAGAACAAAUUAGAUUUUGGUUUUUCUUCCCUAUUCAACAGUCUCACUUCAUUUAAAGGGAAUGAUAAACUUCUUGUAUCAGAGUUAGAUUCAAGUUUGUUUUGCAUAUGCUUAACUGAGAAUUUUGAGAACCACCUACUUUAUGAAAAAAAAG